UUGUAGCUCAAUGGUAGAGCGUCCGACUACUGUGCGGAAGGUCACAGGUUCGACUAAUGUGGUCAAAA